rnacentral:rRNA from 1 species
GUGCCAGCAGCCGCGGUAAAACGUAGGAGACAAGCGUUAUCCGAAUUUACUGGGCGUAAAGCGCGUGCAGGUGGUUUGGCAAGUGGAAUGUGAAAUCUCCUGGCUCAACUGGGAGGGGCCGUUCCAAACUGCCAGACUAGAGGGCGGUAGAGGGAGGUGGAAUUCCCGGUGUAGUGGUGAAAUGCGUAGAUAUCGGGAGGAACACCUGUGGCGAAAGCGGCCUCCUGGACCGUACCUGACGCUCAGACGCGAAAGCUAGGGGAGUGAACGGGAUUAGAUACCCCCGUAGUCC